GGCUGGUUAGCUCAGUUGGUUAGAGCGUGGUGCUAAUAACGCCAAGGUCACGGGUUCGAUCGCCGUACGGGCCA
rnacentral:tRNA from 1 species